rnacentral:rRNA from 1 species
UACAGAGACUGCAAGCGUUAUUCGGAUUCACUGGGCGUAAAGGGUGCGUAGGUGGCGAGGUAAGUCGGAUGUGAAAGCUCGGAGCUCAACUCCGAAAUGGCAUUGGAAACUACCUUGCUCGAGGGUUGGAGGGGGGACUGGAAUUCUCGGUGUAGCAGUGAAAUGCGCAGAUAUCAGGAGGAACACCGGUGGCGAAGGCGGGUCUCUGGGCCGUAACUGACGCUGAGGAGCGAAAGCGUGGGGAGCGAACAGG